rnacentral:rRNA from 1 species
GACGAACGCUGGCGGCGUGCCUAAUACAUGCAAGUAGAACGCUGAAGGAGGAGCUUGCUCUUCUGGAUGAGUUGCGAACGGGUGAGUAACGCGUAGGUAACCUGCCUGGUAGCGGGGGAUAACUAUUGGAAACGAUAGCUAAUACCGCAUAAUAGCAGUUGUUGCAUGACAGCUGUUUGAAAGGUGCAAUUGCACCACUACCAGAUGGACCUGCGUUGUAUUAGCUAGUUGGUGGGGUAACGGCCCACCAAGGCGACGAUACAUAGCCGACCUGAGAGGGUGAUCGGCCACACUGGGACUGAGACACGGCCCAGACUCCUACGGGAGGCAGCAGUAGGGAAUCUUCGGCAAUGGACGGAAGUCUGACCGAGCAACGCCGCGUGAGUGAAGAAGGUUUUCGGAUCGUAAAGCUCUGUUGUAAGAGAAGAACGAGUGUGAGAGUGGAAAGUUCACACUGUGACG